rnacentral:rRNA from 1 species
GUGGGGAAUUGUUCGCAAUGGGCGCAAGCCUGACGACGCAACGCCGCGUGGAGGACGAAGAUCUUCGGGUCGUAAACUCCUGUCGAGCGGGACGAACGAACUGCGGGGAAAUACCCCGUGGAAGUGACGGUACCGCUAAAGGAAGCCCCGGCUAACUCCGUGCCAGCAGCCGCGGUAAUACGGGGGGGGCAAGCGUUGUUCGGAAUUACUGGGCGUAAAGGGCUCGUAGGCGGCCGACUAAGUCAGACGUGAAAUCCCUCGGCUUAACCGGGGAACUGCGUCUGAUACUGGUUGGCUUGAAUUCGGGAGAGGGAUGCGGAAUUCCAGGUGUAGCGGUGAAAUGCGUAGAUAUCUGGAGGAACACCGGUGGCGAAGGCGGCAUCCUGGACCGGCAUUGACGCUGAGGAGCGAAAGCCAGGGGAGCAAACGGGAUUAGAAACCCUAGUAGUCC